GACGAACGCUGGCGGCGUGCUUAACACAUGCAAGUCGAACGGAAAGGCCCUGCUUGCAGGGUACUCGAGUGGCGAACGGGUGAGUAACACGUGGGUGAUCUGCCCUGCACUUCGGGAUAAGCCUGGGCAACUGGGUCUAAUACCGGAUAGGAGCCAUUUUUAGUGUGAUGGUUGGAAAGUUUUUUCGGUGUAGGAUGAGCUCGCGGCCUAUCAGCUUGUUGGUGGGGUAAUGGCCUACCAAGGCGGCGACGGGUAGCCGGCCUGCGAGGGUGGACGGCCACAUUGGGACUGAGAUGAGGCCCAGACUCCUACGGGAGGGAGCAGUGGGGAAUAUUGAACGAGGGGCGCAAGCCUGAUGCAGCGACGCCGCGUGUGGGAUGACGGCCUUAGGGUUGUAAACUACUUUCGCUAGGGACGAAGCUUUUUGUGACGGUACCUAGAUAAGAAGCACCGGCUAACUACGUG
rnacentral:rRNA from 1 species